AUUUUCUCUUUCCAAUCUUUUAAAAAACAAGAGGCUCUCAAGAGCCUGAAUCGCUCACCUGAAUUUUUUUGGUUUAAUCUCUCAUCAAUGAUUAUUUUGGCUUUUCAAUUUAUUUAAAUGUUCUUUGAAUCGUCCUAUUUUCUUCAAAAGCAAAAAAAAAUCAUUUUCUCCUAUGUUCUAUUUUAGCCAUAGGAGCUAUGUUUCUUGACAUACAA
rnacentral:lncRNA from 1 species